UAUGCGCGUCCCUCUAAAUAAAGUGGCGGCUAGAUUGACCGUGAUUUUCGACUUGGCGGCUGGCUUGACCGCAGUUAAAUUACUGGGAAGGGAGUGUUCACUUCUCGAAUCACAUCGAGCAUGCUGAACUCCAAUACAGCAAGUGAGUCAUUAAACUAUUAUAUAUUUUAUUUAUAUAUUAUGUUAAUUUGUUAAAAGUAGAAAAAUAAUUAGAGUGAAGUUUAAAGUAUUUGGGUACAAUAUAUAUGUUGUUUAUUGUAUCUACAUCUGUAAAUAUUACUUCUGUAACUGUAACAGGUUAACUGUUAACAAGAAAGGUACUGGGGGGGAUAACAGCAAUUCUGAACGGGUUGUCUUGUGUUAUGUUGUGUUAAUAAUCAGUGUUGAGUGAUGGAGUUUAGAGAUUUGCCCCAACGCUAUUCACAUAACACGAAAACCAAGCAUCCUCAAUUAUUUCCUCUACUUUUAAAUUAUUACAAAUAAACACUAUUAUCCAUAAAUUCAACUGAUACAAAUACCAUAGGUUUUUAAAAGCAACUUUUUGUCGGUUUUCAUUAUAACCGCACCAUGGUUGUGUAUUCCGCUCUUUAGCUUCACUCUUUUUAACCCUACGAUUACCAGGAAGAUUCUCAGGUUAAUCUGCAUGAAGUGUAAGUAAGAGGGUCCGCCCUCCAGAUGGCGCUAUACUGCUGGCAUAAGUAACUGUUAAUGUUACUGUACAGGUUCUGCAGUGUGUCCAUCAGUGUCCAUCUGUCUGUCUGCAGUCUGGAAGAUGCUGACUUCUGUCUUUCCCUGUAGGGCCAUUGGGUUCAUAGAAAUGGACGCUGACUCUAUGGGUUUGCCUCUCUCUGUUGAGGAGACCCGACCAGAACCAGUCCAGAGUUCAGUGUGUCUGUGUCCAUUCACUCACGGAGGAUGAUGAGGAAGAUGAUGCCUGAUGAAGAGGAGCGGCUUGAGGGGUCAAGAGAUAAAACCAUGUACUGGACAUUCAGAUUUUUCUUGACUUUGUAUGAAAUGGCUUCUGCGAUCACUCAUUAAAAGGAUGAUU
rnacentral:lncRNA from 1 species